UGGGGAAUCUUGCACAAUGGAGGAAACUCUGAUGCAGCGACGCCGCGUGAGCGAAGAAGCCUUUCGGGGUGUAAAGCUCUUACGCCAGGGACGAUAAUGACGGUACCUGGAGAAGCAGCUGCGGCUAACUACGUGCCAGCAGCCGCGGUAAUACGUAGGCAGCAAGCGUUGUUCGGAAUUACUGGGCGUAAAGGGUGCGUAGGCGGCGCUCUAAGUUUGGUGUGAAAUCUCCCGGCUUAACUGGGAGGGUGCACUGAAAACUGGGGCGCUCGAGUAUGGGAGAGGAAAGCGGAAUUCCUGGUGUAGCGGUAAAAUGCGUAGAGAUCAGGAGGAACACCUGCGGUGCAGACGGCUUUCUGGACCAUCACUGACGCUGAGGCACGAAAGCGUGGGUAGCAAACA
rnacentral:rRNA from 1 species